AGUAUGUGUGCCGGGUAUGUACAAUGUCGUCCGGGCCAUGCCCAGACUGGUCAUUCUAUGAGCUUUUCGACUAUAAAAGCCGCAGCACUUGGCCCAACAGGUCAGAUUCGGCUUCGCAGCGACACUCUGUUCUUCAGCUAGCAGCUCCUUCCUUCAUCCGAUCAGAUCAUCUACUAUCCACUCAAGAUGGGUUUGUGUGGACUUUUCGCCAUUGCGUGGUCAUUCUGGUUCUGCUACAAAAUCGUCAGAGCCGUAGCCCCCCUAGCCAGGCGAUGCUUGGAGGAUUAGGGUAGUACUCAAGGAAACGAUACCCGGCUGGACCGCGACCGAACGGGAGAUCGAUUAGCAUGUGGCCGUAUGACGAUGAUUGCUUGAUCCCUCUUCCCUUGUUGCGUUUUCUCUGCUACCCCACCCCCUAGACCACCAGCGGGGUGGCGUGACGUUAACGUUUCAAGCCUGACUCCUUUUUUCCAAGAGUACCAUGACCAACGAUUGUGCGCUGAUGAUUUAGAUUCAAGUUAGUUAUCACUCUUGGAUCUAGAAUUCUAGAUACCCACUUCCUUUGCACCAUGCAUUUGCCCCCUUUCCUUCAUUUCCUCUAACAGAAACGCCAUUUCGCCUGUGGCAUGUUCUAGAAUCCCCACCAUUUCUCUGAGCACGGACAACCAUCUUCAGGUGCCAUGGAUGUUUGCGACUUCAUGAACAUUUCUUUGUUACGAUAUCCGGUGCAAAUAUCUGGGCCCUAGGCCACGCCAAUGGCUGUUUUGUGAACAUUCCUGAUGUUGGCAAUUCCUUCCAAAAUAGACUAGCCUUUCCUGUA